rnacentral:rRNA from 1 species
UGAGUAACGCGUGAGUAACCUGCCUUUCAGAGGGGGAUAACGUUCUGAAAAGAACGCUAAUACCGCAUAACAUCAAUUUAUCGCAUGAUAGGUUGAUCAAAGGAGCAAUCCGCUGGAAGAUGGACUCGCGUCCGAUUAGCCAGUUGGCGGGGUAACGGCCCACCAAAGCGACGAUCGGUAGCCGGACUGAGAGGUUGAACGGCCACAUUGGGACUGAGACACGGCCCAGACUCCUACGGGAGGCAGCAUG